rnacentral:rRNA from 1 species
AGAGCGAACGCUGGCGGCAUGCUUAACACAUGCAAGUCGCACGGGCACUUCGGUGUCAGUGGCGGACGGGUGAGUAACGCGUAGGUAUCUAUCCUUGGGUGGGGGACAACUGUGGGAAACUACAGCUAAUACCGCAUGAUAAUUGAGGUUUAAAGGCGCAAGUCGCCUGAGGAGGAGCCUGCGUACGAUUAGCUAGUUGGUGGGGUAAAGGCCUACCAAGGCGACGAUCGUUAGCUGGUCUGAGAGGAUGAUCAGCCACAUUGGGACUGAGACACGGCCCAAACUCCUACGGGAGGCAGCAGUGGGGAAUAUUGGACAAUGGGCGCAAGCCUGAUCCAGCAAUGCCGCGUGUGUGAAGAAGGUCUUCGGAUUGUAAAGCACUUUCGACGGGGACGAUGAUGACGGUACCCGUAGAAGACGCCCGGCUAACUUCGCGCCAGCAGCCGC